rnacentral:lncRNA from 1 species
GCCCAGAGGUGUGUCUGUUGUUUUCAGCCAAUCACAAGGCAUUUCUGGUGAGAAAUCUUUUACCUUUACCUAGUGACCAAAGCCCUUCCCUGCUAGGUUACACCUUUGAUGAAUGGGUUGAUUCACUGGAAAGGUCUGGGCCUUCUGUGUUUUACAUUAAUUGGGGCAGACACUUCUAUCCCCACCCUAACAAAACACCCUUCUGGACACAAUGAACGCAAUACAAAGAAAGCCCAACUCUGCGGUUGGUACUGGUAAUUCCACAGUGAAGGCAUCACUUCUUUGUGAGUUACAGAGAAGAGUGCCCAAGUUUAUCCCUUUGGGAAAAGUCAAGGUGGGCAGUGCUGAGAUGCAAGAUUUACCAGGAAUUUCUUCAGCAAAUGGAUAAAAUUACAAUAACAUUUACUUGAAAACUAAAUGGGCAAAUAUGAUACCAAGAAGCAUCCUGAAAAAAAAAAGCUAAGGACAGGAUUCUGGCAGACUCAGGCUUUAAAAAGAUGACAAAGUGGUUAUCAUUAAACCUGCUGGGUAGACAGAACAACACAAUAAACUAUACAGAUUUACCA